CAUGGCUCUGGUGUGCCAUACCACACUUUCAUUCCAUGAAGAGUUGAGUCUUAGUGUAGAAAUGAUAGGUUACUGUUGUGUCCCAAAGUCCUACAGACUUUUACAUUUUUGUGUCGCACAAAUAAACAUUAAAAAAAAGACCCAAAAUUAUCUAUUUCCUCCCAUUAUAGCAGUACUUAUGAAGCUUACAGACCCUACAAUUAUAAAAAAAAAAUUCAUUACCAGUUUGGUUAAUUAGAAGGACAUUUUAAUAUAGAAUCUUUAAAUAUCAGAUUGCAACAAUGAUAUGGAUUGUAUUAGAUCUUUGAAGUGUUAAAGUAGUAAAUAGCAACAUUCAAAAACCAGUGGAUUCAAUGAUAAGAAGAGUAAGCAAUAUCUCAUAUAUUAUGCAGUAAUUCCAAAACCACACCACCAGAGGUUACCACUAGU